rnacentral:lncRNA from 1 species
GAUGCCAAGUGUUUUCACUGUGAUGAGAUCGGGCAUUGGAAGAGGAAUUGUCCCAAGUACCUGGCUGAGUUGAAGCUUAAGAAGCUGCAGAUUGGAGAAUCCUCAGGGACUAAAAAGGAUUAGGAAGCUGAAGCAGGGUGACUUAGAGCUGCACGUUGGGAACGGGCAGAAUGUUGCUGUGAAGGCAGUUGGAGAAUUUAUUCUUGAAUUACCUUCUGGAUUGUUUAUUACUUUAGACAAUGUUUUUUAUGUUCCUACAUUUCUGCAUUUUUAAAUGGUGUGUUCUAUUUUGA